rnacentral:rRNA from 1 species
UACGGAGGGGGCUAGCGUUGUUCGGAAUUACUGGGCGUAAAGCGCACGUAGGCGGCUUUGUAAGUUAGAGGUGAAAGCCCGGGGCUCAACUCCGGAAUUGCCUUUAAGACUGCAUCGCUAGAAUUGUGGAGAGGUAAGUGGAAUUCCGAGUGUAGAGGUGAAAUUCGUAGAUAUUCGGAAGAACACCAGUGGCGAAGGCGACUUACUGGACACAUAUUGACGCUGAGGUGCGAAGGCUAGGGGAGCAAACAGG